AAAAGGGGAUUAGGGUUUGAGAGUUGUGACCAUUGAAAUAACCUAAACUCAUCUCCUUCACGAACACAACGGCGACAGUGUGGUUGUCCGAAUCUCUUCCCCAACGAAGACCUCUCAGCGCCUCCGUAACUAUUCUUCACCUCUCAACGCUUCUCUCUUGUUCGCUCUCUGAUUUCAUCAUCUCCUUCUUCUCGCGGAUGCGUAAUCGUUGUUGCGGUUGUUGUAGAUUAGAUCAGUGGAGUUGUCGCGUGAGGAUGUGGAUUCGUGAUGCUGAUGAUUUCCUCAAAGCUUAUGGUUGAUUGAAGAUGAAUGAAGGAAGUGAUUUCCUGAGGAGGUUGAAAAUGUUGAACGUUGGUUUUGUGUCUCAAAGUGGAACGACUCUAAGAAGCUUCCAGGUAUGCCUUUGUUUCUACUGAUUUCUUCGGCUUCAACUCUUUCUUCUUAUUGUGAAUCGUAACUGUUGUCGGUGGGGUGAUGAUGAAGGUGCGAUGAAGAUGACUUUACGGCUACGGUUGAAUGAAGAUUGGAAAGUAGUGUACCGUGAAUGAAGAGAGAAUCGGUCUUUGAGGAUGAAGAGAUGCAGAGACUGAAGAAGAGCAAGGUUGGUGAUGAUUGAUGAUGACAUUGAUGAUACGAUUUGUUGUAGAUACGUGGUGGUGAUGAAGAAUGAUGAAGAUUGGAGAAGUUUGAUGAAGGUUGAUGAAAAAUGAAGUUGUGAAGGGAGAAGGGUGAGAUUGAGACUGAGGGUGGAGAAGAUGAAGAAGCUGGUUGAGAAAAUGAAGGUUUGGGGAUCGAAGAUUGAAAAGGAAGAGGUGGUGAAGAAGCCCUAAAAAUGGUGGAGCUGCUGGUUUAUAUAGUUGAAGGUGAAGAGGAGAAUUCAGUUGAGGGCUUGUUAAGGGAACGUAUGAGGGUUGUAUGUAGCAAGUCUCUUGUAUAAAGAUGUAGGGCUGUUAUGGUUUAUUUGUGGGAAUUGGUGCGACAAGUGCGUCCACUGAAAGUUUUGUUGAAGGGAUUUGGAAAUUUGAGAUCUUGAAGUAUAUAGAAAAAUGAAGAUGAACUUAGGCUCCUUUUUGUUUGUAAUUCUUUUGUAGUUGAAUCUUGGAAUUUUUCUUUGUAAUGGACUUUGAAACGGUAUUUGAAUGAAUGUAAUAUAAAUUGUGUAAUGGGAAUGUGGAUUUUUGAACGAAUGUUUGGAAAUUGAUGGA